rnacentral:rRNA from 1 species
GGCUCAGGAUGAACGCUGGCGGCGUGCUUAACACAUGCAAGUCGAACGAAGCACUUUAUUUGAUUUUCUUCGGAAAUGAAGAUUUUGUGACUGAGUGGCGGACGGGUGAGUAACGCGUGGAUAACCUGCCUCAGUACAGGGGGAUAACAGUUGGAAACGACUGCUAAUACCGCAUAAGCGCACAGGACCGCAUGGUCUGGUGUGAAAAACUCCGGUGGUAUGAGAUGGACCCGCGUCUGAUUAGCUAGUUGGUGGGGUAACGGCCUACCAAGGCGACGAUCAGUAGCCGACCUGCGAGGGUGACCGGCCACAUUGGGACUGAGACACGGCCCAAACUCCUACGGGAGGCAGCAGUGGGGAAUAUUGCACAAUGGGCGAAAGCCUGAUGCAGCGACGCCGCGUGAGCGAAGAAGUAUUUCGGUAUGUAAAGCUCUAUCAGCAGGGAAGAAAAAUGACGGUACCUGACUAAGAAGCACCGGCUAAAUACGUG